rnacentral:tRNA from 1 species
GGAGGUAUGGCUUAAGUAGUAAAGUGCCUACCUAACAAGUACAAGGCUCGGAGUUCAAGUCCCAGUACUGUCA